AAAGCCCCUUGGAAAUGUUGGGCUGAUACCUUGCUUACAGAAUUCCUGCCAGGCUUACCAGACAACUCGAGGUAAACUUCAGAGAAAUUAUCACAAAACUCAUAUAUAGACCAUCUUUGUGCCUGGUGCUCGAUGGGCCAUUCCAAGGAUCGCCACGGACAUUUGAGUUACAAGCCAGAAAAACCCAUCGGAUUCCCGCUGCCUGGUCCCACUCCCUCUGAGAUGCCGCAAGCCUGACAUCUAAAAGUCUUCUCACUGGCAGCCGCUGGGUUUGUAACUUGCUCCAACCAUUCACCCAUAUUUUUCUUGUCUCUGUGAAAGUCCUUCUUAUUAAUUACCUGAUUGUUUCCUAAACAAAACGAAGCCUAGAUGAUGGUUAACACCACCUGUUGCCCAAUCAAGGCCUUAAAUGACUCUCAAAAUCACAUUAUAUUACCAAACACUAAAAUAACUCAAAUGCAUAGAACCGUUCUACAAAAUAGAAUGGCAUUAGAUGUUUUAGCUGCUGCACGAGGUGGAACUUGAGCUCUGAUAGAAACAGAACGCUGUGUAUACAUUCCAGAUGACCACGAAAAUAUUUUUGGAUUUCUAACUGCCAUGAAUACUCGAAUUGGCACUUUACGUGAUCUCUCUCUUUCCUUUAAUAAUCGGUUGAAUUCCUGAACUAAAGAAAGAUGUUUGUUGACUACCAGA